GUGGGGAAUCUUAGACAAUGGGGGAAACCCUGAUCUAGCCAUGCCGCGUGAGCGAUGAAGGCCUUAGGGUUGUAAAGCUCUUUCAGAUGGGAAGAUAAUGACGGUACCAUCAGAAGAAGCCCCGGCUAACUCCGUGCCAGCAGCCGCGGUAAUACGGAGGGGGCUAGCGUUGUUCGGAAUUACUGGGCGUAAAGCGCACGUAGGCGGACCAGAAAGUCAGAGGUGAAAUGCCAGGGCUCAACCUUGGAACUGCCUUUGAAACUCCUGGUCUUGAGGUCAAGAGAGGUGAGUGGAAUUCCGAGUGUAGAGGUGAAAUUCGUAGAGAUUCGGAGGAACACCAGUGGCGAAGGCGGCUCACUGGCUCGAUACUGACGCUGAGGUGCGAAAGCGUGGGGAGCAAACAGGAUUAGAAACCCUUGUAGUCC
rnacentral:rRNA from 1 species